GGGGUUCUUGCUCAGUGGUAGAGCACUUGCCUAGCAUGCAUGAGGCACUGGGUUCGAUCCUCAGCACCA
rfam:Ictidomys tridecemlineatus contig049798, whole genome shotgun sequence.